CCUACGUGGUGCAGCAGUGGGGGAUAUUGCACAAUGGGGGGAACCCUGAUGCAGCGACGCCGCGUGGGUGAAGAAGCGCCUCGGCGCGUAAAGCCCUGUCAGCAGGGAAGAAAAUGACGGUACCUGAAGAAGAAGCCCCGGCUACCUACGUGCCAGCAGCCGCGGUCAUACGUAGGGGGCCAGCGUUAUCCGGAUUUACUGUGUGUAAAGGGGGCGCAGACGGCGAUGCAAGACAGGAGUGAAAGCCCGGGGCCCAACCCCGGGACUGAUCUUGGAACUGCGUGGCUGGAGUGCAGGAGGGGCAGGCGGAAGUCCUGGUGUAGCGGUGAAAUGCGUAGAUAUCAGGAGGAACACCGGUGGCGAAGGCGGCCUGCUGGACUGCAACUGACGUUGAGGCCCGAAAGCGUGGGGAGCAAACAGGAUUAGAUACCCUUGUAGUC
rnacentral:rRNA from 1 species